AGGGAGAAGGAGGAAGAGGAUGAGGAAGGGAUCAGAACACCCCAAAAACACCCCCGGCGAGAUCUCCAGAGGAACAGCAGGAAGAGGACGACGAAGAAAACCCCAAAACCCCAACCCGCCUUGCCCAACCCCCCCGUCCGGGCACCGCGGGGACUCGCAGGCGCCACCGCCUCCACCUCGGAGCUGGGAAUUCCCAUCCCUCCCCAAAAUCCCGGGAUUCACCUGCGGGAGGCUGCUGGAAGCCUGGCUGCUGUUACACUUCUCCAGCUCCUUCUGCACCUUCAGCGCCAGCCCCUGGAGCUUCUCCUUGUCCUUGAGGGUGGCGUUGAGGGUGCGGCUGAGGUUGGCGUUGGUGGCACCCAGGGCGACAAUCCUGCGGUAGUGGCUCUGCACCUGCUCCUCCAGCAGCCUCAGGUAAAAACCGCAGUCGCGCUUGGGCAUCGCCUCCUUGGGCUCCAAACCGAAUUUGGCCAUGGCGAAGCUGCUCUUCUCCAUCCUCGCCCGGGCUCUGGCGGCCCCACCCCGCCCGGACCUCGCUUUUCAGGGGGGCCGCGUUGGGGCGGAGCUGCUCCCGAUGUUUAUAUCCCUGGAUUUAAUAUUUCCUCCCGUCGGCUCCUUCCUGCCGUGCCGGAUGCUCCCGGGGACCCGCAGGGUUAUCAGGGCACAGCUUCUGCUGGAGUUGGGAUUGUUGUUCCUGGAGAUGGGGGGAAAAAAUGGGGUUCCUUUUCUCCAUCCCACUUCGGGAAUUGUCUCCAACCCCAAAUUCCCACUCCCGGUGUGGGAAUUCGAUCCCUCUGGGUUAUCAGGGCACAGCUUCUGCUGG
rnacentral:lncRNA from 1 species